GAAUACUGCACAUGAAGAAACAGCUUCCCUGUUGGAGCUUCUGCUCUGGGAGUCUGGGAUCAGCUUUGCUUGAUGGAGUUCAGAACCACAUUUUGUCAUUUCCCAGGAGCGUAUGUUAAUGGUCAAAGCAUACACUAGGAGAUGAACAGAACAGCGUGGAGGAGAGAAGACACAUCCCACUCUAUCUGUUGCACUAAUACAACCUGCAGGCUCAGAAAAAGAAGUCAGAAUUACCGUUUCAAAAAUGCAGUGAGACCAUAGUUUGAGAAGCCUUUUAAAUCCUUUUUCUUCAAAAAAGCAAAGGACCUCUAUAGAAGACUUGGGAAAGAAUAAAUAUACAUGAAAACACAACAGAGAAGAUCACUGAACUUCUGAAAAGACCCUGUAGUCAAAUUGUCAUUCCCAGGAGGAGACAGAGUCCCAAAUGAAUAAGUCCCAGGAGACUGAUAAAGAGAGCCACACUAACUCAUGAGAUGUCCAUCUCUCAUUCUCCAAAACCAGUUUUAUAUCCACGAUCUCCCCAGACUGCAGUUGCCUAGAAGACUCUCUCAAGAAAUUCUGCAAUGCUGUGCUUAUUCCUGACUUUUCACCAUCCCUGCUGUUCUAAACCUCCCCCCAUUCCUCCAACCUCACUUGAGAAAAUAUGACAAGAAAAUA